AAUUAUUAGUAUUUUUAUCAAUUAAAUCGUGUCCUACGAUUUCGACCAUGUGCGGAAUUCCGUUUUGUAACCGUAAUAUACUCUAAAAUAAAGAUAAAAACUACUAAAUAUGUAUUUUUUUCACAUAAAUGGCAACAUUUCUAUUGAAUCCACCAUUUUGAAGAGGUUGUCAUAGAAAACUCGAACCGUCAGUCGUGUCGAAACUUCUAAAGCGUUACCGUGCAAAAAUUUCGCUCCGACUUGUAACUGGGAUUUUUCGUGGGGAAAAUGCCUCUGACCAAUGCUGAGAAGCAACGACGCUAUAGGGAAAGAUUAAAAGACAACCCUGAAAAAAAA